rnacentral:misc_RNA from 1 species
GGUAGCUACUUUUUUUUUAUGGGGUUUGUUCACACUGAUCAUCUUCUUGGAACAGCGAACGAUGUCAAAGCUAUUUGGAGGAAAAAACCCUUUUGAUGAUCCAUUUUUCACUGAACCAUUUGGUGGUUGGUUUGGUUGGAACGACCCGUUUGAUGUACAGCAAGAUUCUCGGAAGCAAAUCACCAUUGAAGAGUUAAAUCCUGAAGGUGAUGGUGGUCAGGCUCAGGAAAAUUCUGAACCAACAAAAGACUUGGUUGUUAAGAACAAGAAACCUAGUAAAAAAUCCAAUGGGAGCCAGAGUUUCAGCUACCGCAGAGUUUCUUAUGGUGGUUUAAAUGGAAUGUACUAUAUUUGCUCCGAAGGCAAAAUGAUUGGUCCUGAUGGGGUGGUUCUAGCAGAAAUGAAAGAAGAGGACAAGACUAUUGGGGAGUCCCUGCACACAAUCUCCAAAGGGAUUCACAACAAGGGCCAUUCUGUCACAACAAAGCAUAGUUCAGAUGGGCGAGAGGACACACUGCAGACUUUGCACAAUCUCAAUGAAGACGAGCUUGGCGACUUUGAACAAAAUUGGAAAGCUAAUGCUGAUAAGUAUUUGCCUGGAUGGGAUAAGAAUUUCAGCUUGCUGGAGAAUCAAGGGUCCAUUAGCAGCUUGUGGGAUGAGUUUGCAAAUUGGAGGGGUUUGGGUGGUUAUGAAAGUCCAGCUCUGGAGUACUACGGAAAUGCAGGACCGGUGGCGCAAGUCAGUGAAUCAGGGGAAGAUUCUUCUAGGAGAGCCACAAGAAGAGUCCCAGUGGAGUAGAGGGAGGCUUCCUUUGAUGAUGAAAUUAGUGGUACUACUUAUAUCCUACCUGUAUAGCCUACUUGCAUGUUUUGACCUGUUUUAUUAUCAGAGUUUAGUGUCUGUUGUCGGUUCGCAUUGAGCAUGAUUCAGUAAGACUGUUAAACUGGAUUUGAUCAAGAAGAGAAAUGUACUGUGUGAGUGAUCUACAUAUCUAUUCUAAUUAUCAACGAAUUCUGC